rnacentral:tRNA from 1 species
GGAAGUGUGGCUUAGUGGUAAAGUGCUUGCCUAGCAUGCAUGAAGUGAUGGGUUCGAUUCUUCAGUACUG